rnacentral:rRNA from 1 species
GAUGAACGCUGGCGGCGUGCCUAAUACAUGCAAGUCGAGCGAAUGGAUUAAGAGCUUGCUCUUAUGAAGUUAGCGGCGGACGGGUGAGUAACACGUGGGUAACCUGCCCAUAAGACUGGGAUAACUCCGGGAAACCGGGGCUAAUACCGGAUAAUAUUUUGAACUGCAUGGUUCAAAAUUGAAAGGCGGCUUCGGCUGUCACUUAUGGAUGGACCCGCGUCGCAUUAGCUAGUUGGUGAGGUAACGGCGCACCAAGGCAACGAUGCGUAGCCGACCGGAGAGGGUGAUCGGCCACACUGGGACUGAGACACGGCCCAGACUCCUACGGGAGGCAGCAGUAGGGAAUCUUCCGCAAUGGACGAAAGUCUGACGGAGCAACGCCGCGUGAGUGAUGAAGGCUUUCGGGUCGUAAAACUCUGUUGUUAGGGAAGAACAAGUGCUAGUUGAAUAAGCUGGCACCUUGACGGUACCUAACCAGGAAGCCACGGCUAACUACGUGCCAGCAGCCGCCGUAA